rnacentral:rRNA from 1 species
AUAAAUCAUAAUUGUAUAUUUUUUAGUAUUGCAUACUAUUGUAAGAAAAUUUUAUUUUUAAUAAAAAAUAGAAGCAAAAGGUAGAAUUUUUUUUAUUUUUAUUGUUUCAUAAUAAAGAUUAAAAAAGUUAGGGUUGAAAAGUCGACUUUUGUGAUAUUUGUUUUUUUUUUUAAUGUUAGAAAUUUAUGUUUUGGCGAAGUAAAUAGGUAAAUGUAAAAGUUAAAGUAUUUUUAUUUUUAGUUUUAUAACUGUUUAUUUAAGUGUUUUUGGGUUUAAGUUUUUAUAUUUAUUAAAUUUUUAAUAAGUUAAUAAUUUAUAAAUUAGUAUAUUAUAUUUAUAGCUGUAUAAAAAUAAAAUAUAAAAGGAAAAUUCAAAGUUUAAUCAAAUGUUUUUUAAAGACUUAGACUUUAUUUUAAAGUUUGCUUCUGCCCAGUGAUAUAUUAAAUGGCAGUCUUAGCGUGAGGACAUUAAGGUAGCAAAAUAAUUUGUGCUUUUAUUGAGUUCCAGUAUGAAUGAAGUUAUUGGUUAAUUAUUUUCUUUUUUUUAUAUUGAAUUUGUAUUUUUAUAAAAAAGUAAAGUUAUAAUUAUACAAAGAUAAGUCUUCGGAAAUUCUUUUUGAAUAAAUAAUUAUUAUUUGUUUAAAAUUUUCUAGGGCAGAAUAUUAAAUAAUGUUAUAUUUCUAUUAAUAAUUUUAAGAAUUACUCCGGAGCUAACAGAAAAUCAUACUUAAUCCAGUUCUUAUGGUAAAGUAAGUUUUACAUCGAUGUUGUAUUUAAGUUUUUUAGGAGAGGAGAAUACCUAAUA